rnacentral:snRNA from 1 species
GGAUGUUAGGGCGAUCUGGCUGCGACAUCUGCCACUCCAUUGAUCGCCAGGGUUGAUUCAGCUGAUCUGGCUGGUUAGGCGAGUGUCCCCUUCCUCCCUCACUGCUCCACACACGUCCCUCCCGAAGCUGCUCCUUCGGGAGAAGAGGACGACCUUCCCCGAUAGAGGAGGACCAUUCUUCAGUCAAGGGUAUAUAAGUAGCUGUGCUCCCCUGCUAGAACCCCCAAACAAGCUCUCAAGAAGGAGGAAGAGGAGCUUUAAAAGGAGAUGGAGAAAGAAAGGUUU